rnacentral:rRNA from 1 species
AGUGAACGCUGGCGGUAGGCCUAACACAUGCAAGUCGAACGAGUGGCGGACGGGUGAGGAAUGCAUCGGAAUCUACUCUGUCGUGGGGGAUAACGUAGGGAAACUUACGCUAAUACCGCAUACGAUUGAAUGAGCCGAUGCCCGAUUAGCUAGUUGGCGGGGUAAGAGCCCACCAAGGCGACGAUCGGUAGCUGGUCUGAGAGGAUGAUCAGCCACACUGGAACUGAGACACGGUCCAGACUCCUACGGGAGGCAGCAGUGGGGAAUAUUGGACAAUGGGCGCAAGCCUGAUCCAGCCAUACCGCGUGGGUGAAGAAGGCCUUCGGGUUGUAAAGCCCUUUUGUUGGGAAAGCGGUACCCAAAGAAUAAGCACCGGCUAACUUCGUGCCAGCAGCCGCGGUAAUUC